AAAACCAGGUUUUUCGUUCCCGUGAUCGAGAUACUAGGUUUUUCGAUUCGAUAAACCUGGUAUCUCAAAGUAAAUUUUGGAAAAACUUGGUAUUUCGGUCGAGAUUCAAGGUUUCUAAAAAAUACACCAGUGGAUGGAUAAUAAUCCAGUGUAGUGAUGCAUAUCUAUUUCGACUAAGUUAGGUUCCGCAAAGUACACCAUUGACAUCUUGUUCAAUGCAGCAAUGACUUUUUGCUAAAAAAAACCCUGCAAAAGCAGGUUUUGUUUAUACUUUCAUUUACCACUACGAGACAGUGAUAUUGAAGCUAGGAGAGAGAGAGAGAGGAUCCUAGCUAGAGGCAGGCAGUAUAUUUUGGGAGUUGUCGUAUUGUAUGAACUAAAAAGAGCAAUGCAUGUCAUUAUCAUAUGGAGUAGAUACAAAUGACUAAAGGAGUUAUUUUUAAAUCAAUAUGAAAAAUACCUGUUACUGUGUAAGAAAAUACUGUACUUGAAAAAUUUGUAUUUUCAUAACCUUGUUAUAAUUUUAUUAUAUUCCAUUUAUUUAAAA